CGGAGCGGCCCAAGAUGGCAGCCGGCGCCAGCGGCGGGGAGCCGCUCCCGAGGCACAGGCGCCCUUUGCGGCGAGGGGCUGAGUUGCGCGAUCCGCUGCCGCCGCAGUCGCCGUUCCGGGGCGGCGGGCCGGCCGAAGAGUCUGCAGCAGUAGAGAACAGGAAUAAGCCUUUUAACAGACUGAAUAUUCAUUCUGCAUUCUGGAUUUUGGCAUCAAUUGCUGUGACAUACUACUUUGAUUUUUUAAACACUGUUAAAGAAACUAUUGAAGCAGAUAGCUGGUGGUUUGCCUCUGGCAGUUGUUUGCUGGCUGCUUGUUUAUCUAUUGCCUUGUACUGCAUAUUGUAUCUUGAGUGGUAUCAUGGAAUUGAGGACUAUGACACACAGUAUCCAGCACUGAUACCAAUCACUACAGCUACCUUUAUUGCAGCAGCAGUUUGUUUCAACGUUGCCUUGUGGCCUGUCUGGACCUUUAUGACACCUGUGUUGCUCUUCAUUCAGUUCAUGGGUGUUGUGAUGUUUGUGUCACUCCUGGGAUAAGCUGUUCAGACUAUACUAUUCAAAUGAAUUCUGUGAAACUGAAAAAGCUUAAGGAAGACAUCAAAGACCUCUCAGUAAAUAAGCUUCAUGUGAAGGGUUCAAGUACCAGUUAUCCUACAAAGUAGAUGUCACACUACAUUCCAGUACUUCUGAUAUUUCUAAUACUCCUUGUUUGCUCUGAUACCAUAAUGCUUCAACUACCUAAUUUAGAAGUCAAAUGGACCUCACCAGGGGUCAGCUAGUGGAUGGGGAAAAAAAUGAUUAGUGAAUAACUGAAAGAUAGAUAGGUUUUACCUCUCUCAGUAACAUAAAGCAUUUCAUCACUGCUUUGUAAAGUUUUUAUUCGUAUUUCAGUAUUAAGCAGAUGGGUAAUAAGUCUGUUAUAUGGUCCCAAAUCCAAUUUGAGUCUCCAGAGGUCACCUAGACCACCUUCCUGCUCAAAGCAGGUUGUUUGGUUCGCAAGCAAUUGAUACUUAAUUGAAGUGUUGUGCAUUUUAAUGCUACAUUCUUUCCAUUUUAAUUGAAAUAUAAAUUAUAGUUAUUUGGAAUCUCAUAGAUGACACAAGACCCAUUUCUUGAUCUAUUAAAUUUCUAAUGCCACAUGUGUGUUGCUCUAUAGGAAAUAUUUUAUUAUCUAAUGACUUGACUUUGCAUCUGCUAGUGUCUGAAAAAAGUUACAGAUGGGGGUAAGGACCUAGAAAGCUGGAUGAGGCUUAUGUCACUGAUAAUUUGGCAAAGCCAUCAGUGAAACCAAUUCGGCUUGUGUUGAUGUCAUUUGUCCACAGCCAGCACGAAGUCAAAUCUUUUUAUGUAUGCACCAUUUUUCAGUAUUUGGGGUGUUUUUCUUCUGUAAAUUAACUUCCUAUUCUUAGCAGUGCCUGUUAAUAAAGUUGCCAUUUUUCUUCCUCAGCAAUAAAGAGGCUGAUUCUAACUGAAAUGCCAGUUGGGAAGAUAAGAUCACAUUGUCUGUCUGUUCACCUUGGCUAAGCUAUUUAAACAUCUGAAAACCUGGGCGCUGUCUAGUUGGUAGACCAUUUUAUAUAGAUCCUUAUGUUAAACAAUUUCACACUUGUACCUUUUGGAAGAUAGGAGAAUGUAGAAGCUGGGUGUUGAAACUUGGUAAAAUUUACUUCUUGCGACUGUUGCUUGGAGUCUGGCCAAUUGGAGGAGACUGUUCUUCAAUCUGGCUUUCAAAUCUACACCAUUGCUGAACAGACAAUAUAUGAAAUGUUUAGUAACGGAAAAGACAGACACUAUCUUCAGCUGCUACUGUUUCAUUAAGGAAAAAGUUACUGACCGUGUACGAUGAUACAAAGGAUCAAGCCAAAAUAAAAGCAUUUAGCACUACUGUUAAAGUGGCUUGUAGAGUAAGUUAACAGCUUGAUUUGUUUAAAUGUAAUAUUUAAGUUUAACAAAACCAGUUGUACUUCACAUUUUCAAAGGGCAAGUUGCUUAUCUUCAGGUCUUCCUCUUUUAACAUGUUAACAAUUUCGUAUCUGCAUACAGAGGUACAGUUGAGUAACUUUAUUACAGUAUAUAAAAUGCAGUGUUGCUCAGGGAUGCUUGUUACCACUGUAUUUUUAUUUGUCAACUACAUAAGUACUCUAGCUGUUUUAAGUUGCCUUGUACUCUUGAAAUGAUUACUAUUUGCUACAUGUUUUCUUCAGAUUUAUUCUUCUGGACAUCUUAAUAAACUUUGUAUUAAAGUGA